rnacentral:rRNA from 1 species
AUGCAGCACAUCUUCUCCUUCGGGUGGGCAACUGGGAAGCCGGUCAUGGGCUCGGGGGAGCCUCUUGGUUCUCCCAUGCCAGACUUCCCUGGGACCCCGGAUGUCGAGGUCCUUGAUGGCCCUGAAAAGCCCUUCAACAAGCCCUUUGACCCCAUCCAUGAUAGGAAGAGGAAGAGAGGAAUCCUGAUGGAGGAGGUGAUCAAUGUCUUUUGCAGCAUGACUGAGGCGGUGAAGGAGGUGGCAAUAGCCAUCAGGGAGUGCAAGCCCCUCGACGUCCAUCCUGACAUGUAUGGCGCUGUCAUGACCCAGGGUGGCUUCAGCGACGAGGCUCUCAUGGCAGCUCUCAACCACCUGCUUGACAACAAGGCCCAUGGUGUUGGGUUCGUUGCCAUGGCAGAUGCUCAUAGGGUGUUGUGGCCCGGGAGCUGGUUGGGCAAGCACUACUAA